GGCCAAGUGAAUGGAACCUCAGGGUAGCAGCUGACUCAGAAACAAAGUUGAAGGACAAUUCCAGCUUUUCUUGGGGCCUCAAAUGUUGUGUGUCCAUUCGUCUGGGAAUUACAAUCCCUUUCAUUAUUCCCGGGUAACUUCAUGUCAACCACACUGAUUUCCAAAGGUGGAAUGGACUGCCUCCUUGUUUACCAGCCAUGGAAUCAAACAGGAAAAUAUGCAUUGAUAUUGUAAAUAUCUCCCUAUUUCACCACCUUCCUCAGGCGGAUAAAGAGAGGAGAAGAAUAGGGACAGAAAGGUCAGCCCACAUUUGCAGUGUAUCCAGGGCCUUCCUCUGGAAAGGACUUUCCUUCCACCGGCGGCUUCUCAGCAGCGUUGACAAGUCCAGUCUCAGAGGGGACACGGUUCACAGAAAAGGGCACAUCUGUGCUGGAGAGCGUGUCUUUCCCUUCUUUGAGCUCACUUCCCCCAUGUCAGACAGAGCACAAC
rnacentral:lncRNA from 1 species